UGUAUGAAAUGUUUGCCACUGGUAUUGUUUGUUGCAUCCCCAAUUGCUCUCGGAAACCAAGUUCAUAGCACACUUGUUUAUUCCGGUAGAUGUGCAUGAGGUUGUGGUGCUGGAGCUUCUUGUUGUACUACUGGAAAAUCCAGCUGAUGCUCAAACACUCGACCCACUUGUGUGCCUAUUUGUUUUUGUCUUUUUGACGACGGGGAUUGGCGUUGGUGAUGUGCAAGCUGAGUGGUAUCAAGCAACUGCGAAUUGUAUUUUAUAACUACAUGUAAGUAUCUUGAUGUCUUGCUUUUGAUCCAUGAUGAUCACUGUUAUUAACACUAAGGUCCUAACUUCUUCUUAUAUGCAGUUGACGAG